rnacentral:rRNA from 1 species
CCUGCCUCGAAGACUGUUAUACACCAUCGGAGAUGAGUGGCUAAUACCCGAUACAUUCGGCAAUUCAGUUUGUCGAGUAAAGCUCCGGCGCUUCGAGAUGGACCUGCGGCCUAUCAGCUACUUGGUAGGGUACUGGCCUACCUUGGCGAAGACAGGGUAAGGGGCUGUGAGAGCGUGGUGCCCCACAGUGGCACUGAGAUACAGGCCAGACUCCUGUGGGACGGCAGUAGUCGGGGAUAUUGCACAAGUCAGCGACAGCUGGAUGCAGCGACGCCUGCGUGGGCUGAUGAUUGCCUUCGGGUUGUAAAGCCCUUUUAUGGCGGAAGAGAACAAGGACAGUACCCCAAUAAUACGUCUCGGUUAACUACGUGCCAGGAGCCGCGGUAUCUCGUAGGGGACCGGCGUUUUCCGGAUCUACUGGGUGUACUCAGCGUUGAGGCGGUUCCGUCAGUUGGGCGUUAGAGCCCCGGGCUCACCUCGGGGAGGUCGUACAUUACUGCGGAACUUGAGGGCA